rnacentral:rRNA from 1 species
CCUACGGGUGGCUGCAGUGGGGAAUAUUGGACAAUGGGCGAAAGCCUGAUCCAGCCAUGCCGCGUGUGUGAAGAAGGCCUUCGGGUUGUAAAGCACUUUCAGUGGGGAAGAAAGCCUUGGGGCUAAUACCCUCGAGGAAGGACAUCACCCACAGAAGAAGCACCGGCUAACUCCGUGCCAGCAGCCGCGGUAAUACGGAGGGUGCGAGCGUUAAUCGGAAUUACUGGGCGUAAAGCGCGCGUAGGCGGUCUGAUAAGCCGGUUGUGAAAGCCCCGGGCUCAACCUGGGAACGGCAUCCGGAACUGUCAGGCUAGAGUGCAGGAGAGGAAGGGAGAAUUCCCGGUGUAGCGGUGAAAUGCGUAGAGAUCGGGAGGAAUACCAGUGGCGAAGGCGGCCUUCUGGACUGACACUGACGCUGAGGUGCGAAAGCGUGGGUAGCAAACAGGACUAGAUACCCCGGUAGUC